UGAAUGGCUUAGAGACCUAGGGUAGAA
rnacentral:piRNA from 2 species